rnacentral:rRNA from 1 species
UGGGGAAUAUUGGACAAUGGGGGCAACCCUGAUCCAGCCAUGCCGCGUGUGUGAAGAAGGCCUUUUGGUUGUAAAGCACUUUAAGCAGUGAAGAAGACUCCAUGGUUAAUACCCAUGGACGAUGACAUUAGCUGCAGAAUAAGCACCGGCUAACUCUGUGCCAGCAGCCGCGGUAAUACAGAGGGUGCAAGCGUUAAUCGGAAUUACUGGGCGUAAAGCGAGCGUAGGUGGCUUGAUAAGUCAGAUGUGAAAGCCCCGGGCUUAACCUGGGAACGGCAUCUGAUACUGUUAGGCUAGAGUAGGUGAGAGGAAGGUAGAAUUCCAGGUGUAGCGGUGAAAUGCGUAGAGAUCUGGAGGAAUACCGAUGGCGAAGGCAGCCUUCUGGCAUCAUACUGACACUGAGGUACGAAAGCGUGGGUAGCAAACA